rnacentral:rRNA from 1 species
AUCAACUUUCAUGGUAGGAUAGAGGCCUACCAUGGUUUUAACGGGUAACGGGGAAUUAGGGUUCGAUUCCGGAGAGGGAGCCUGAGAAACGGCUACCACUUCUAAGGAAGGCAGCAGGCGCGCAAAUUACCCAAUCCCGACACGGGGAGGUAGUGACAAUAAAUAACAAUACAGGGCCUUUACAGGUCUUGUAAUUGGAAUGAGUACAAUUUGAAUCUCUUAACGAGGAACAAUUGGAAGGCAAGUCUGGUGCCAGCAGCCGCGGUAAUUCCAGCUCCAAUAGCGUAUAUUAAAGUUGUUGCAGUUAAAAAGCUCGUAGUUGAAUUUCGGGAUCAAUAUUUCGGUCAUGCCGUUGGUAUGCACUGUUAUCAUUGAUUUCUCACCUUCUAAAGAACCGUAAUGCCAUUAAUUUGGUGUUACGGGGAAUUAGGACUGUUACCUUGAAAAAAUUAGAGUGUUUAAAGCAGGCUCACGCUUGAAUACAUUAGCAUGGAAUAAUGAAAUAGGACAUCCGAUUCUAUUUUGUUGGUUUCUAGGAUCGAUGUAAUGAUUAAUAGGGAUAGUUGGGGGCAUUAGUAUUCAAUUGUCAGAGGUGAAAUUCUUGGAUUUAUUGAAGACUAACUACUGCGAAAGCAUUUGCCAAGGAUGUUUUCAUUAAUCAAGAACGAAAGUUAGGGGAUCGAAGACGAUCAGAUACCGUCGUAGUCUUAACCAUAAACUAUGCCGACUAGGGAUCGGAUGAUGUUAAUUUUUUUAAUGACUCAUUCG